AGCUUUAUAUUCAAUUAAUGAUUUUAAAUUGCAAAUUUAAAGGAGGGGCACCCCUAAGGCUU
rnacentral:tRNA from 1 species